rnacentral:piRNA from 1 species
UGAGGAGUGAUAUGGCCACACCAAGA